rnacentral:rRNA from 1 species
UACAGAGGUCCCGAGCGUUGUUCGGAUUCAUUGGGCGUAAAGGGUGCGUAGGCGGCGGGGCAAGUUUGAUGUGAAACUCCUGGGGGCUCAACCCAUGGAACUGCAUUGAAUACUGCCUUGCUAGGGUACUGGAGAGGAGACUGGAAUUUACGGUGUAGCAGUGAAAUGCGUAGAGAGUCGUAAGGAAGUACCAGUGGCGAAGGCGGGUCUCUGGACAGAUUCCUGACACUGGAGGCAACGAAGGCCAGGGGACGCAAACGGG